UCAAUUAUAGUUUGUUUGAUGGUAUCUACUACUCGGAUAACUUAAUUCUAGAGCUAAUACGUGCAAUAAAUCCCGACUUCUGGAGGGGAUGCAUUUAUUAGAUAAAAGGUCGAUGCGGGCUCUGCCCGUUGCUGCGAUGAUUCAUGAUAACUCGACGGAUCGCACGGCCAUCGUGCCGGCGACGCAUCAUUCAAAUUUCUGC
rnacentral:rRNA from 1 species